AGAGUUUGAUCAUGCCUCAGGAUGAACGCUGGCGGCGUGCUUAACACAUGCAAGUCGAACGGUGAACACGGAGCUUGCUCUGUGGGAUCAGUGGCGAACGGGUGAGUAACACGUGAGCAACCUGCCCCUGACUCUGGGAUAAGCGCUGGAAACGGCGUCUAAUACUGGAUAUGUGACGUGACCGCAUGGUCUGCGUCUGGAAAGAAUUUCGGUUGGGGAUGGGCUCGCGGCCUAUCAGCUUGUUGGUGAGGUAAUGGCUCACCAAGGCGUCGACGGGUAGCCGGCCUGAGAGGGUGACCGGCCACACUGGGACUGAGACACGGCCCAGACUCCUACGGGAGGCAGCAGUGGGGAAUAUUGCACAAUGGGCGCAAGCCUGAUGCAGCAACGCCGCGUGAGGGACGACGGCCUUCGGGUUGUAAACCUCUUUUAGCAGGGAAGAAGCGAAAGUGACGGUACCUGCAGAAAAAGCGCCGGCUAACUACGUGCCAGCAGCCGCGGUAAUACGUAGGGCGCAAGCGUUAUCCGGAAUUAUUGGGCGUAAAGAGCUCGUAGGCGGUUUGUCGCGUCUGCUGUGAAAUCCGGAGGCUCAACCUCCGGCCUGCAG
rnacentral:rRNA from 1 species